CAAGGAUUAAAACAAAGAUUCAUAAACACUAAUCACUCCGACACCCAUUCAUUUUUUACAUAUCAAUUUUCCGAAGGUUGAUUUUCCCAAGUGAUGAUUUGAGUGUCUUUUUGUCUGCCUCACGGAUCAAAACAAAAAUUCAUCAACAUUAAUCAUUCUGACACUCAUUCAUUUCUCACAUGUCAAUUUUCUGAAGGUCAUUUUUCCCAAGUAAUAAUUCAAGGGGGUCAAACAACAGGUAAACACAGCCCGCGCCAAGACAGAAAGCCAUGGUGAUCUGUAUCUGAGGGGGACGAAGCCAAGUGUCCCCGGCUUCAAAAGUGUAGAGUCUUCCCUGUAGUACAUUUAAGUGCUAGUCUUCCCUCCCUAGAGCUUGGUCUUCAUCAUAGCCAUGGAAUAGAAGAGUUUGGCCACCUUCAUUACAGGCGCCAUGUUGGUACCUGAAAAGUCGCUUGGAAUUCAAGUUGAUGGUGAUGUGAUAGUGUUUUGUUUUGUGUUGAAGGUAUAGUCAAGAUCUCAAAGAAGUACCAAGAGUAUAAAGUGAAAGACAGAAAGAAAUGGACUAAGAAGAGAGAAGUGAAGGAAGAGGAGAGAGCAGAGGAACAAGGAAGAAAGGGGAAAACAAGAGAGGUUAGGCAGAGUGGAAAAGAAAGAAAGCACAAAAAGAAAGAGGUGGAAUAAGACGAGAGAAGAGGAGGAAAGGAAAUAUAAGCUGAACAAAGAAGAAGGGGGGAAACGAGAGAGGUGCAGAGUGAAAGAGAAAAGAAGUGGAACAGAAAGAGGGAAGAAAGGAAGAGGAAAAGAGGAGAGAAUAGACAGAGUGAAAGAGAAAAGGGGAAUAUAAAGAGGAGGUAGAAAAAGUGAAAGAGAAAAGAAGUGGAGCAGAAAUGUGGAAAAAAGAGGAAGACGAGAGAAGGAAUAUGGAAGAAAGGUGGAAAGAUAUCAACACCAAUUUGAAUUUCGCGCGACUCUCUAGGUAGCAACAUGGCGGCUGUGAUGCAAGUGACCAAGCUCUCCCAUCGUAUGCCUUGGUCUUCUUCAUCGUCAGUGGUGGCUUGUAGGGUGACCACCAGGGUUGCAAUCAAAAGGAAGUGGGUUUUAACAUUAAAUUUGAGAAACUGA